CGGCGUGCCUAACACAUGCAAGUCGUACGAGAAAGCCGGCUUCGGCUGGUGAGUAAAGUGGCGCACGGGUGAGUAACGCGUGGAUAAUCUGCCCUUAAGUGUGGAAUAACGUACCGAAAGGUGCGCUAAUACCGCAUAAUGCCUGGCAACACAAGUUGUCCGGCCAAAGAAGGCCUCUGUUUACAAGCUUUCGCUUCAGGAUGAGUCCGCGUACCAUUAGCUUGUUGGUGGGGUAAUGGCCUACCAAGGCUGCGAUGGUUAGCUGGUCUGAGAGGAUGAUCAGCCACACUGGAACUGAGACACGGUCCAGACUCCUACGGGAGACAGCAGUGAGGAAUAUUGCGCAAUGGGGGCAACCCUGACGCAGCAACGCCGCGUGAGUGAGGAAGGUUUUCGGACUGUAAAGCUCUGUCGAGCGGGAAGAAGUGUACCAUGGCUAAUAUCCAUGAUAUUUGACGGUACCGCUAGAGGAAGCACCGGCUAACUCCGUG
rnacentral:rRNA from 1 species